GAUGAACGCUAGCGAUAGGCUUAACACAUGCAAGUCGAGGGGCAGCAUGGUCUUAGCUUGCUAAGGCUGAUGGCGACCGGCGCACGGGUGCGUAACGCGUAUGCAACUUGCCUCACAGAGGGGGAUAACCCGUCGAAGGACGGACUAAUACCGCGUACACUCUAUGUUGGGCAUCCAAUGUAGAGGAAAUGAAAUUCGCUGUGAGAUAGGCAUGCGUCCCAUUAGCUAGUUGGUGAGGUAACGGCUCACCAAGGCGACGAUGGGUAGGGGAACUGAGAGGUUGAACCCCCACACUGGUACUGAGACACGGACCAGACUCCUACGGGAGGCAGCAGUGAGGAAUAUUGGUCAAUGGGCGAGAGCCUGAACCAGCCAAGUCGCGUGAAGGAUGACUGUCUUAUGGAUUGUAAACUUCUUUUAUACGGGAAUAACAAGAGUCACGUGUGGCUCCCUGCAUGUACCGUAUGAAUAAGCAUCGGCUAACUCCGUG
rnacentral:rRNA from 1 species